rnacentral:rRNA from 1 species
UACGUAGGCAGCGAGCGUUGUUCGGAGUUACUGGGCGUAAAGAGUGCGUAGGCGGUGCGGCAAGUCUGGUGUGAAAUCUCCCGGCUUAACUGGGAGGGUGCGCUAGAAACUGCCGUGCUAGAGUGUGGGAGAGGUAAGCGGAAUUCCUGGUGUAGCGGUGAAAUUCGUAGAUAUCGAGAGGAACAUCGGUGGCGAAGGCGGCCUUCUGGACAGUGACUGACGCUGAGACGCGAAAGCGUGGGGAGCAAACAGG